GCCGAUGUGGCGAAAUGGCAGACGCAACGGACUUAAAAUCCGUUUCCAUUAACCUGGAGUGCGGGUUCGAGUCCCGCCAUCGGUA
rnacentral:tRNA from 1 species